GGGGAAUAUUGGACAAUGGGCGCAAGCCUGAUCCAGCCAUGCCGCGUGAGUGAUGAAGGCCUUAGGGUUGUAAAGCUCUUUCACCGGAGAAGAUAAUGACGGUAUCCGGAGAAGAAGCCCCGGCUAACUUCGUGCCAGCAGCCGCGGUAAUACGAAGGGGGCUAGCGUUGUUCGGAAUUACUGGGCGUAAAGCGCACGUAGGCGGAUCGAUCAGUCAGGGGUGAAAUCCCAGAGCUCAACUCUGGAACUGCCUUUGAUACUGUCGAUCUAGAGUAUGGAAGAGGUGAGUGGAAUUCCGAGUGUAGAGGUGAAAUUCGUAGAUAUUCGGAAGAACACCAGUGGCGAAGGCGACUAACUGGACACGUAUUGACGCUGAGGUACGAAAGCGUGGGGAGCAAA
rnacentral:rRNA from 1 species